AGAGCAUUCUUCACUGGAGAGGUUUAUCACUGCCAAAGCACUCUUUCACUGGUGAAAGUCCGGGGCAGAAAGGAAGAAAAAGAAAAGUAUGAUUCUAGGAACCACAUUGCAGAAAUGCCAAAGGGAGGUUCAAACAAAAUCUGAAUGGCUAAGGCUUUGUCUUCAUCAUGCAUGUCCGUCCUACCUAAAGGAAACGCUUGGUACUAUUUAUUGUCCUGAAAGAGGAGAAGAUCAAGCAAGCCACUGAUGGAAUUGUUGCCCUCACACCCCCAAAUUCUUAUGUUGAAGCCCUAACUCCCAAUGUGAUGGUAUUUGAAGAUGGGGCCUUUGAGAGGCAGUGUGGGUUCCAGCAGCCUGAGGGCAGCCCUCUGUCAAAGAGAUGCAGCAAAGAGAUGCUGGCUACUGGAAGUGAAAACACACGGGAAGGCAGUGGUGCACAAAAUGGUGUCCUUUCAAGGUUUCAAGGUGCCUAGACACUGCUGUGGAAAGGGUGGCAGCUCUGGGCUCCAAGCAGCGCGAUCCCACAGCAGCCCCAGUCCUGCAUGUCUCCAGAAAUCAUUCCCAAAGGC